AUUGAACGCUAGCGGCAUGCCUUACACAUGCAAGUCGAACGGCAGCGCGGGAGCAAUCCUGGCGGCGAGUGGCGAACGGGUGAGUAAUACAUCGGAACGUACCCAGUAGUGGGGGAUAACGUAGCGAAAGCUACGCUAAUACCGCAUACGCACUGAGGUGGAAAGCGGGGGAUCGCAAGACCUCGCGCUAUUGGAGCGGCCGAUGGCAGAUUAGCUAGUUGGUGGGGUAAAGGCCUACCAAGGCGACGAUCUGUAGCUGGUCUGAGAGGACGACCAGCCACACUGGGACUGAGACACGGCCCAGACUCCUACGGGAGGCAG
rnacentral:rRNA from 1 species